rfam:Picea glauca, whole genome shotgun sequence.
UAUGUACAUGACUAUAGCAUUAGUGCACCAAAUCCCAUUAUAAAUAUGCAGUUAAGAUCACUUUGGAUAGAGUAGUAUUGGGAAGGGUGACCUCCCAUGAAAUCCUAGUGUUUACAUGC